ACCAGUCUUAAUAGACCGCUUCUUGUACAAUCACCGAAGUUAAGCAACGUCGUGCCUGGUCAGUACCUAGAUUGGUGACCGCUUGGGAAUACCAGGUGCG